AAAUUGAAGAGUUUGAUCAUGGCUCAGAUUGAACGCUGGCGGCAGGCCUAACACAUGCAAGUCGAACGGUAACAGGAAGCAGCUUGCUGCUUCGCUGACGAGUGGCGGACGGGUGAGUAAUGUCUGGGAAACUGCCUGAUGGAGGGGGAUAACUACUGGAAACGGUGGCUAAUACCGCAUAACGUCGCAAGACCAAAGAGGGGGACCUUCGGGCCUCUUGCCAUCAGAUGUGCCCAGAUGGGAUUAGCUUGUUGGUGAGGUAACGGCUCACCAAGGCGACGAUCCCUGGCUGGUCUGAGAGGAUGACCAGCCACACUGGAACUGAGACACGGUCCAGACUCCUACGGGAGGCAGCAGUGGGGAAUAUUGCACAAUGGGCGCAAGCCUGAUGCAGCCAUGCCGCGUGUAUGAAGAAGGCCUUCGGGUUGUAAAGUACUUUCAGCGGGGAGGAAGGUGUUG
rnacentral:rRNA from 2 species